GGUUAAGUUAGAAAGGGCGCACGGUGGAUGCCUUGGCACUAGGAGCCGAUGAAGGACGGGACGAACACCGAUAUGCUUCGGGGAGCUGUAAGCAAGCUUUGAUCCGGAGAUUUCCGAAUGGGGAAACCCACUGCUCGUAAUGGAGUAGUAUCCAUACUUGAAUACAUAGAGUAUGAGAAGGCAUACCCGGGGAACUGAAACAUCUAAGUACCCGGAGGAAGAGAAAGCAAAUGCGAUUCCCUGAGUAGCGGCGAGCGAAACGGGAACAGCCCAAACCAAGAGGCUUGCCUCUUGGGGUUGUAGGACACUCUAUACGGAGUUACAAAGGAA
rnacentral:rRNA from 1 species